UACGGGGGGGGCAAGCGUUGUUCGGAAUUACUGGGCGUAAAGGGCUCGUAGGCGGCCAACUAAGUCAUACGUGAAAUCCCUCGGCUUAACCGGGGAACUGCGUCUGAUACUGGAUGGCUUGAGUUCGGGAGAGGAGCGUGGAAUUCCCAGUGUAGAGGUGAAAUUCGUAGAUAUUGGGGAGAACACCGGUGGCGAAGGCGGCGCUCUGGACCGAGACUGACGCUGAGGCGCGAAAGCGUGGGGAGCAAACAGG
rnacentral:rRNA from 1 species